rnacentral:lncRNA from 1 species
UACAGUGGAAGCAGCUCCUGUCACAGAGACAACCAUGCAACCAACAACGCCACCAGAGGAACAACUAGGGACUACCAAAAUCACAGUAGAGGAACCUAAGAAGAGCUGGUCAACACUCUUUCAGAAGAAUUGCUUUGCGACUCAUUGUAUGGCUCUUGAUUACAUUCCCCCAAUGAUAGUCGAUGGAAAGGCUAUGGUACAACUGGGAAAAGCUGAAGUGGACAAGGAGGAAGCUAAAUGGAAGUGUGCCUUAGUGGUAUACAUCCUAGGUGACGGCCCUGGCUUCAAUGCAAUGAGGAGAUUCAUUAGUCACCAUUGGUCCCAUGUCCCCGAACCAGAUUUGUUCUAUCAUGAUGAAAGGUACUACAUUGUGGAAGAAUCGCUUUGCGACUCAUGGUAUGGCUAUUGCUUACAUUCCCCCAUUGAUAGUCGAUGGAAAGCCUAUGGAACAACUGGAAAAAGCUGAAGUGGAGGAGGAGGAAGCUAAAUGGAAGUGUGCCUUAGUGGUAUA